rnacentral:rRNA from 1 species
CCUACGGGGGGCAGCAGUGGGGGAUAUUGCACAAUGGGGGAAACCCUGAUGCAGCGACGCCGCGUGGGUGAAGAAGCGCCUCGGCGCGUAAAGCCCUGUCAGCAGGGAAGAAAAUGACGGUACCUGAAGAAGAAGCCCCGGCUAACUACGUGCCAGCAGCCGCGGUAAUACGUGGGGGGCAAGCGUUAUCCGGAUUUACUGGGUGUAAAGGGGGCGCAGACGGCGAUGCAAGCCAGGAGUGCAAGCCCGGGGCCCAACCCCGGGACUGCUCUUGGGACUGCGUGGCUAGAGUGCAGGAGGGGCAG